UAAGUCAGAGUUUAGUGCUGCGCUCUGCUCAUGGGAGCAAUUUAAUAUACUUCCGGGUCAGUUUGCUGCGUUCUCAGCAUGUGAGACCGCAUUCAUGUUGUAGUCUUGAGAAGUGAUGCUCCGAGUGUUAAGUUGAUGACGGAAAACUGCUGGCAACACUGAGCAUCACGACGAAUAAACCAGUUCGCAUCUAAGUCAA